GAGACCGUACCGCAAACCGACACAGGUGGGCGAGAUGAGUAUUCUAAGGCGCUUGAGAGAACUCGGGAGAAGGAACUCGGCAAAUUGGUACCGUAACUUCGGGAAAAGGUACGCCCCGGUAGCUUGAUUGGUUUACUCCAUGAGGGUGAAAGGGUUGCAAUAAACUGGUGGCUGCGACUGUUUAAUAAAAACACAGCACUCUGCAAACACGAAAGUGGACGUAUAGGGUGUGACGCCUGCCCGGUGCUGGAAGAUUAAAUGAUGGGGUG
rnacentral:rRNA from 1 species